GAUGAAGAACGCAGCGAAAUGCGAUAAGUAAUGUGAAUUGCAGAAUUCAGUGAAUCAUCGAAUCUUUGAACGCACAUUGCGCCCAUUAGUAUUCUAGUGGGCAUGCCUGUUCGAGCGUCAUUAAGUCCACUUAAGCCCUGCUUAGUGUUGGGAGACUGCUCCAGCGGUGCUACCCUGUAGCUACCCUGCAGCUCCUCAAAGACAGCGGCGGAGUUGUGGUAUCCUCUGAGCUUAGUAACUUGUUCUAGCUUUCGAGUACACCACUUCCCCUGCCGUAAAACCCUUAAUUUUUAAUGGUUGACCUCGGAUCAGGUAGGAAUACCCGUUGAACUUAAGCAUAUCAAUAAGCGGAGGA
rnacentral:misc_RNA from 1 species